UCUGGUGACAAUGGCAAGGAGGUCGCACCUGUUCCCAUGCCGAACACAGAAGUUAAGCUCCUUAGCGCCGAUGGUAGUCGGAC
rnacentral:rRNA from 1 species